GGGUUUGGGUAGGGGAGCGUCCUGUGCGAGGUGAAGCUGCCGGGUGACCGUGUGGUGGAUUGUGCGGGAGUGAGAAUGCAGGCAUGAGUAGCGAAUGACGGGUGGAAAACCCGUCCGCCGAUUAUCCAAGGGUUCCAGGGUCAAGUUAAUCUGCCCUGGGUGAGUCGGGACCUAAGGCGAGGCCGACAGGCGUAGUCGAUGGACAACCAGUUGAUAUUCUGGUACCGGCUUGUCACCGUCCGUGUCGAGGUGUGUGAUGCUAAGCGUGCGAGCCUGCCAUUGUGAUGUCUUUGAUGUUGUGGUGGUGUGGUGAGUGUGUGAACCGAUCAUGUAGUAGGCAAGCUGCGGAGGGACGCAGGGAGGUAGCUCAUCCCCGGCGAUGGUUGUCCGGGGCUAAAUGUGUGGACCGUCUGGUAGGUAAAUCCGCCAGGGUUGUGGUUGAGGCAUGAUGGCGAGCCCACGGAAAUGUGGGUGAGUGAGUGAUCCUGUACUGUCGAGAAAAUCUUCGUGAGCGAGGUGGCUGGUCCGCCCGUACCCUAAACCGACACUGGUGGAUAGGUAGAGUAUACCGAGGCGAUCGAGAUCAUCAUGGUGAAGGAACUCGGCAAAAUGCCCCCGUAACUUCGGGAUAAGGGGGACCUGAACUGUCAAGGCUUUUACAGCUGGUAGCGGUGAGGGGCGCAGAGACCAGGGGGAAACGACUGUUUACCAAAAACACAGGUCCGUGCGAAGUCGUAAGACGAUGUAUACGGACUGACUCCUGCCCGGUGCUGGAAGGUUAAGGGGAACUGUUAGCGUUGGCGAAGCGGUGAACUUAAGCCCCAGUAAACGGCGGUGGUAACUAUAACCAUCCUAAGGUAGCGAAAUUCCUUGUCGGGUAAGUUCCGACCUGCACGAAUGGAGUAACGAUUUCCCUACUGUCUCCACCAUGAACUCGGUGAAAUUGCAUUACGAGUAAAGAUGCUCGUUACGCGCAGCAGGACGGAAAGACCCCGGGACCUUUACUAUAGUUUGGUAUUGGUGAUUGGGACGACUUGUGUAGGAUAGGUGGGAGACUGUGAAGCGGCCACGCCAGUGGUUGUGGAGUCAUUGUUGAAAUACCACUCUGGUCGUUCUGGUUAUCUAACUUUGGGCCGUGAUCCGGUUCAGGGACAGUGCCUGAUGGGUAGUUUGACUGGGGCGGUCGCCUCCUAAAAGGUAACGGAGGCGCCCAAAGGUUCCCUCAUCCUGGUUGGUAAUCAGGUGUCGAGUGUAAGUGCACAAGGGGGCUUGACUGUGAGACUGACAGGUCGAGCAGGGACGAAAGUCGGGACUAGUGAUCUGACGGUGGCUUGUGGACGCGCCGUCACUCAACGGAUAAAAGGUACCCCGGGGAUAACAGGCUGAUCUUGCCCGAGCGCUCAUAGCGACGGCAUGGUUUGGCACCUCGAUGUCGGCUCGUCGCAUCCUGGGGCUGGAGUCGGUCCCAAGGGUUGGGCUGUUCGCCCAUUAAAGCGGCACGCGAGCUGGGUUCAGAACGUCGUGAGACAGUUCGGUCCCUAUCCGCUGCGCGCGGAGGAAUCUUGAGAAGGGCUGUCCUUAGUACGAGAGGACCGGGACGGACUGACCUCUGGUGUGCCAGUUGUUCUGCCAAGAGCAUGGCUGGUUGGCUACGUCGGGUUGUGAUAACCGCUGAAAGCAUCUAAGCGGGAAGCACGCUUCAAGAUGAGGGUUCCUGCAGAUGAAUCUGGUAAGGUCUCCGGUAGACGACCGGGUUGAUAGGCCAGGCGUGGACGCAUCGUAAGGUGUGGAGCUGACUGGUACUAAUAGACCGAGGACUUACAAAC
rnacentral:rRNA from 1 species